GGCUCAAUGGUCCAGAGGUACGAUACUUGCUUUGGGCGAAGCACAAUUGCAAGUGACCUGGGUUCGAUUCCCGGUUGGGCCC